rnacentral:rRNA from 1 species
UACGUAGGGGGCAAGCGUUGUCCGGAAUCAUUGGGCGUAAAGCGCGUGUAGGCGGCCAGAAAAGUCCGCUGUGAAAACUCGAGGCUCAACUUCGAGCUGUCGGUGGAAACUUUCUGGCUAGAGUCCGGAAGAGGAGAAUGGAAUUCCUGGUGUAGCGGUGAAAUGCGCAGAUAUCAGGAGGAACACCAGUGGCGAAGGCGGUUCUCUGGGCCGAUACUGACGCUGAGGAGCGAAAGCGUGGGGAGCGAACAGG